AUUGAACGCUGGCGGAAUGCUUUACACAUGCAAGUCGAACGGCAGCACGGACUUCGGUCUGGUGGCGAGUGGCGAACGGGUGAGUAAUAUAUCGGAACGUGCCCAGUCGUGGGGGAUAACGUAGUGAAAAUUACGCUAAUACCGCAUACGAUCUAAGGAUGAAAGCGGGGGAUCGCAAGACCUCGCGCGAUUGGAGCGGCCGAUAUCAGAUUAGGUAGUUGGUGAGGUAAAGGCUCACCAAGCCAACGAUCUGUAGCUGGUCUGAGAGGACGACCAGCCACACUGGAACUGAGACACGGUCCAGACUCCUACGGGAGGCAGCAGUGGGGAAUUUUGGACAAUGGACGCAAGUCUGAUCCAGCCAUUCCGCGUGCAGGACGAAGGCCUUCGGGUUGUAAACUGCUUUGUACAGAACGAAAAGGUACUCUAUUAAUACUAGGGGCUCAUGACGGUACUGUAAGAAUAAGCACCGGCUAACUACGUGCCAGCAGCCG
rnacentral:rRNA from 1 species